rnacentral:lncRNA from 1 species
GUUGAGUGCUGUCACCGAGUUUCAGCCAUGGAUUCUGGCUCAAGUGUGAAUGCUAGUUCAUUUGCUGAUAAUUUGGGGCAUGAAACCUCACAAAGGCCUUUCUUCUUUUUAAAGGAGGAAAGAGGGGUCCUGCUCUAUUGCUUCUACCCCUUCCGGCCUCCCCUUUCUCCAUAAUGUCUGUCCUGUGGUGGAGAGAACUUGCAGCAAAUGGAGUAGCGGGACCUGUCUUCUCUACCGCUGCUCCUCUGAGGUGGGGAGUCACUCUAGAGCUGAGCUCACGGGACAGAACCAAUGCCAGAUGUCUGCUCCCCUUUGAGCUACUGAGGCAAAGUAGGCCUUCUUUCUUUGGUUUAGAAAAUGUAGCCAAGUGUGGUGGUAGGUAGACUCUUGGAAUCUCAAAACUGCUGGAGGCCAAGGCAGGAAGAUCACAAGUUCCAGCCUAGGGCAGGACCUUAUCUCAAAAUGAAUAUGAAAUAAAAAAAAAAAAAAAAAAAAAAAAAAAAAAAAAAAAAAGACUGGGGAUAUAGCUCAUUGCAGAGUUCCUGGGUUCAAUCCCAAGAAGAGAAGAGAAAGGAAAAUAUUAUCAUAGAAUCAGUUUCUCUGACUUCUGCCAUCCCACAAGAAAUUUUCACACCCUUGUUUUCUUUUUUGCAGUACUGAGCUUUGAAUCCAGGAAACAACACCAGGACUCCUCAGGUCAGCACUCUGAGAGAACACUUGAGCCUGGCCGUUCACCUGGAGCUGUGUGUCCAGCGAUUAGCUCUGUACAUAGCCUGCACAGAUGGCCUGCUUUUCCUCUUCCUGUGCUUAAUUCUCACUGAAGCCAGAGUGGUAAAUGCCCAUGAGGAUUCCAUGGAGGUCUGUUCAGAGCCAGCAGUGCAGCAGAGACCAGGCACCCAGGUUUUCACCUUCUCCUCAUUGUUCAGCAACAGCAAGCGGACUUGCUCGUCUGAGUAGAAGAGGAAAGUCUGCCGAGAGGGACAGAAAGCGGGUGACGGUGGAGAAGAAACCCUUGGAAGAGGUUUCCCCGUCUGUACUUUUCAGCAAUGAUUAUUCAGGGACACAGCCAGCUGCAGCCCGCAGCUGCGCUCCCAGCUGUGCCGAGCAUAGUGGGCGGAUGCGAUGCGUUUGUCAAGUGCUGCGGCAGCGUCCUGCGCCCGCAAACACAGCGAGGAGGGCAUGUUUGCUAUUGCUGCUGGUACACUGGGCCUUUAAGGAACUGGCUUUCUGGGCAAGUUUCAGAAAGUCUAAUACUUUUCCAGCAUUAGGAAGAUCAAGUCAACUGAGGUACACAAAACGGAGACUGCCACCACACGGUUCAGAUGAGUUUUGUGAGACUGUUAUUAUUAUUUCUUUUCUUAAGCCCCACAACUUUAAAGCUCAAUCGCUCUUACUUUCAUAAAUGUCGUAGGCGAUAUUUUUUAUUGUUUACUAUAUUCUAAAAUCGAGACAGUAGCUGAGUGUGGUGGCACAUGCCUAUAAUCUCAGCACUUGGGAGGCUGAGGCAGAAGGAUCACUGUGAGGCACAUAGCUCAAGACCAGCCUGAACCACAUAGCAAGACCCUGUCUCAAAAAAACAAAAAUACAUAAAUAAAUAAAAUUAAGACAAUAACAUUACAAUACCCAUACAGAAUGUUUAAAGUAAGAAACAUUGAGAACCCCAAUUAUUUUCACAUUAAGGACUUAAAGUAUUUAAGUUUAUACUAAAAGAAUAAUUAAGGAGCCAGGGAUUUAGCUCAGUGGCACAGUACCUGCCUGGCAAGUGUGUGGUCCUGCAUUCGAUCCCCAUNNNNNNNNNNNNNNNNNNNAAAAAAAAAAAAAAAAAAAAAAAAAGAAUAAACACUAUUACAAAAAUCUGAGGGAAGAAUCAUCUAACAAUCCACGGUCCUAACACAAUUGUCAGCAAUUUUGUAUAUUCCUUCCAAGGUUUUUCUUUCCUAGAAGAAACCUCUUUAAAGUUUAAAUUGUAGUGGAUAUGAUUUUGUAAUUAUACCCUUUUCAAUUUUCUAUUUAACUUCAUAUUAACUAGAAGACAGUUAAGGGUGAUUGUUAACAACCCGGGAUCUGGGGUCAACUAGGAGCUUCCUCAAGGACUUCUGAGGAAGUGGCCAUGGGAAGUCCAGCCUGCAGAGAUCGACACAGGGCAGUGAGCACCGCUGGGGCUUGGACCCUCCUUUGUCCCCCAAAGGCCGAAGGCUGCGCUGCACAGCUGUGGAGCCUCGGGGAGGCGGGGCUUGGUAGAAGGAGCUAGGUCAUUUCCGUGUUUCCUUGAGGGAGCAUGGAACAACUGCCCCUCCCUCUCUCUGUGCUUCCUGGCAGUUCUGCCCCUCUGCGCCCUCCCUCAAGUGACCUCCUGCUCACCACAGGCCCAGAGAAAGGAGGGUGAACAACCCUCUGAAAGUGUGAUCCAAAAUAAAAAAGGAAUCUUUCCUCCUUGUGAAUUGUUUUAUCUUAGAUAUUUUGUCCCAGUGACAGACUAACACAGGCAUGAAGAAAGAAUCUUUUAAAAGAGCUUUAACAUCGCUGUUUCAUGGAGUUAUUGUGAGGCAGAGAUGAAGUAAUAUGUGUAACAGAUGUAAUGUCUGGCCUGUGGCACAAUAAACACUCAAUAUGUGGUAGCUAUCCUGCCCUUCACACAUUAUUACAUAGACUUUAAAGUGGCAUUUUAAUGUCAAUAUAGAACACAUCACAGAAAUGGUCUAUACUAUUAACUCGAGCCUUUUAAAGAUAAUUUUCAACACUGUAAGCAAUGAAAGAUGAUUUUUCUCAUAUUUUAGAUUGCCUCUAAAGACAAGAGAUGACUUAUUAGAAUUAUUAUGUGGGUGAACAAUUUUAUGGCUCCUGGUACAUUUUUGCCAAUUGUUUUUUUGGUACUGGGGAUUGAACUCAGGUCCAUGUGCUUGUGGGGCAGGCGGAGGAACCACGGAGCUAAAUCCCUGGCCCCUGCCAUAUUGCUUUCCUAAUAUGCUUCAAAUUACAACAUAAUAAUUAAUAUUUGAAAACAGUAGUUAUACUGCGUCACUGCCAC